rnacentral:lncRNA from 1 species
CCUAUUUGUUAGAAGCAAGUCAAUAAUCCUAGACCCGACUGAAGGGGAGGACAUUGCAAAAGAGCAGGAAUACCAGGAGGUGAAAAUUGACAAAAGAUUUUCACCACUAUUUUUCAGAGAUGUCUCUUUCUGAUGUAACUGUCUGCAAUGAGGAACUGUGGUAAAUUUCUGACUUCUGAGUAUCUAUGAUGAAUUGAACAUAUCUAUAAAAAUUGUAUGAAAAAUUAAAAAUUAUAAAGAUAAUGAAUACUUCCUUAAAAAUCAAUUUCCUUGCUAUCAUUUGUUUGAGAUUUCCAUUUUUAUGUGUCUGACAGAUAGAAACAAAAAUGGACCACACAAUGCAAGAAACGAAAUCCUCCAUGGGGCUUGCCUGUGAAAUUGAGCCAUGCAUCAUGACGUACUGUUCCAGCCAGGCCAGUCCCUGCUCAGGCACCACAGAACAGACUCCCACUGCACCUUCAAACUGCAUGACAAAUAAAGAAUCGCCCUGUCAGAAUUCCACCCUGGCUCACCCAAAUUGACAAAAAUUUUCUGAAUUACACUGUUUCAGGGCUCCCGCAUUGACAAGAGGCAGUCAAGCCUGACAGCCCUUUCCCUCUUGUCUGUUAUCUUGAAAUCAAUUGCACAGCCUGAUGCACAGAAUAAUGGCUGUGGACUAUUCUGCAGGACUUGGCCCAUCUGGUCACUAAGGAAGACAGCAUUGCUGGCUUCCUAUCGAUCUGGGAGGAGCAUGCUGCUACACAGAGGUGACCUCCAUCUCUCCACCUGGCCCUGCUAUUGAGGAAAUCAGUUUCACAAGUGAGCUCAUUCAGAAAUGAAAACAACUUUGCACCACAGCGUAUCCAUCUUUGUCUUUAAUUAAGAGCUCUUGCCUCUUUGGGAUUAAAUAGUGAGUUGUAAGCAAAUGAAAGGGCAUGAUUCUCUGCAUCGGGCACCAUAUUUUGUGUUAAGUCCCUUUAGUUAAAGUCUUGAACAGAUCAGACAUUUCAGUAGAGGGAAAUAUUAAUUUGGCUAUUUUAUGAAACUCCCUACACUUCAUCUUUGAAGAAAAUUCUUAUAUUAGUGGUAUAAUAUUUUUAUUAGCAAAGCUGAUUAAUGUUCCUACAAAGAUUAAUAUUUCUCAAGUUGGUUCUCUAGGAAAAUGAUCGAUUUAUACUUAAUUGUUUGAAGUUCAUUACACAGCCUACCUGUUUUACAUUUAAAAAGAAUUGCAUUAUUGGUGAGUUAUAAUAAAUGGACCCUGAAUCUAUGAAGGCUGCAAAAUGCUCCUGACUUCCUUAUUGGAAAGAAAGACGAAAGCAAGAAAAAAAGCAAGAAAGCAAGAAGAAAGAAAAACAAUUACAUGUUUAAGUUAGUAACAUUUUUGGAUGCUUAUAUUCCCACAGUUUUAUUUUUAUAGUUUGGUUUCUGUUUUUAGUAUUAAAAAUACCAAUUAGUAGCUGGCUUUUAUGAAACGUCUUCACGAUUCACUCUGUAAAUUGCAUAUAGCAUUACAAAAGUCUGCUCCUUGCAUCUCCCGCCCCAUUCUUGUCCUCCUCUAGCAUAUUCACCCAGCUGCCCAAAGUAAUCUUUUAAGAACAUAAGUCAACUUAUGCCCCUUUCCUGCUCAAAACCUUCCGAGUGUUUCACAUGUCACCCAGAAUAACCAAACUCUCUUCCUCGACAAGGCCUAUAUGAUUUGUCCCUG